AUCCCAUGGUGAGGGCAUUCCCUUUGGUAUUCCUUAAAACGAUCCCAAGCUUCGAAGAGUGACUCAUCUCGCUUUUGC
rnacentral:snoRNA from 1 species